UACAGAGGUCCCAAGCGUUAUUCGGAAUUAUUGGGCGUAAAGGGCGCGUAGGCGGCCCGGUAAGUCAAAGGUGAAAUCCCUCGGCUCAACUGAGGAACUGCCUUUGAAACUGUCGGGCUUGAGGCCGGGAGGGGGUAGCGGAAUUCCCAGUGUAGCGGUGAAAUGCGUAGAUACUGGGAGGAACACCAGUGGCGAGGGCGCUACCUGGACCGGUUCUGACGCUGAGGCGCGAAAGCGUGGGUAGCAAACAGG
rnacentral:rRNA from 1 species